CCUGGCUCAGGAUGAACGCUGGCGGCGUGCUUAACACAUGCAAGUCGAACGAGCCUUCGGGCUAGUGGCGGACGGGUGAGUAACGCGUGGGAAUCUGCCCUCAGGAGGGGGAUAACGGCCGGAAACGGCCGCUAAUACCCCAUAUGCCGAGAGGUGAAAUGAAUUUCGCCUGAGGAUGAGCCCGCGUCUGAUUAGCUAGUUGGUGGGGUAAUGGCCCACCAAGGCGACGAUCAGUAGCUGGUCUGAGAGGAUGAUCAGCCACACUGGGACUGAGACACGGCCCAGACUCCUACGGGAGGCAGCAGUGGGGAAUUUUCCGCAAUGGGCGAAAGCCUGACGGAGCAACGCCGCGUGAGGGAUGAAGGCCUCUGGGCUGUAAACCUCUUUUCUCAAGGAAGAAGACAUGACGGUACUUGAGGAAUAAGCCACGGCUAAUUCCGUGCCAGCAGCCGCGGUAAUACGGGAGUGGCAAGCGUUAUCCGGAAUUAUUGGGCGUAAAGCGUCCGCAGGCGGCCUUGUAAGUCUGUCGUUAAAGCGUGGAGCUUAACUCCAUUUAAGCGAUGGAAACUACAAGGCUUGAGUGUGGUAGGGGCAGAGGGAAUUCCCGGUGUAGCGGUGAAAUGCGUAGAUAUCGGGAAGAACACCAGUGGCGAAGGCGCUCUGCUGGGCCAUAACUGACGCUCAUGGACGAAAGCCAGGGGAGCGAAAGGGAUUAGAUACCCCUGUAGUCCUGGCCGUAAACGAUGAACACUAGGUGUCGGGGGAAUCGACCCCCUCGGUGUCGUAGCUAACGCGUUAAGUGUUCCGCCUGGGGAGUACGCACGCAAGUGUGAAACUCAAAGGAAUUGACGGGGGCCCGCACAAGCGGUGGAGUAUGUGGUUUAAUUCGAUGCAACGCGAAGAACCUUACCAGGGUUUGACAUCCUGCGAAUCCCUUGGAAACGAGGGAGUGCCUUCGGGAGCGCAGAGACAGGUGGUGCAUGGCUGUCGUCAGCUCGUGUCGUGAGAUGUUGGGUUAAGUCCCGCAACGAGCGCAACCCACGUCUUUAGUUGCCAGCAUUCAGUUGGGCACUCUAGAGAGACCGCCGGUGAUAAACCGGAGGAAGGUGUGGAUGACGUCAAGUCAUCAUGCCCCUUACAUCCUGGGCUACACACGUACUACAAUGCUACGGACAAAGGGUUGCAAGCUCGCGAGAGUUAGCUAAUCCCAUAAACCGUGGCUCAGUUCAGAUCGUAGGCUGCAACUCGCCUACGUGAAGGAGGAAUCGCUAGUAAUCGCAGGUCAGCAUACUGCGGUGAAUACGUUCCCGGGCCUUGUACACACCGCCCGUCACACCAUGGAAGUUGGCCAUGCCCGAAGUCGUUACUCCAACCCUUGUGGAGGAGGACGCCGAAGGUGGGGCUGAUGACUGGGGUGAAGUCGUAACAAGGUAGCCGUACCGGAAGGUGCGGCUGGAUCACCUCCUAA
rnacentral:rRNA from 1 species